GACUAUUGUUGGUUAGAAACUCUCAGUUCUCACAUGCACAGCAAGAAGAAAAAGGGAGAAAGAAGAAGAAAAAGAAGAAGAAGAGAGGGAAUAGAGGGAGGAAAUUACUUACCUGAAACACACCAUAUAUCGCCUCUGCCCUCAGAUGUUGAGGUCACAUCCUUCGUGGCAUACUAUUUUUUAGAUGAUGCAAACCGGUGCUAAGUCAGGACUGGAUUUUAGCAACGGUUGUGAAACUUAUGUCAGCGAAAUGUCAAGAUUUGAUGGGCUUCACUAUUAUUCCAUUCUUCCUUCUUGAUGUAUAUAUUUAUGGAUGUGUAGUGAGUAUAUAGCCUGUAGUUGUUUCCGACAUGUAAUUUUUAUAAUGUAAUUUAUCACUUUAGUACAUUAUCAGUGAUAUUUAUGAGAUUUUAUUACCA